rnacentral:lncRNA from 1 species
GCCCCUCCGAGUGAAGUACAAACAUAGUUUGCACGAACAAAAAAUGUGUCUAAAGGAUUUGGAAAUUCCUAGCCUGGGUAUGCUAAAGGAUUCAAUGAAGUAAAGGCGGGUAUUUGUAUCAAUUUUCUUUUCUUUUUUGUGCAUCUCUCGGAGAUUUUAGAUUCAUGCUUGUCUAAAUCAUCCAAAUGAGUGUUCAUUGGAAUUUGGAUAAAUGCUUUUUUGAUACGUUAUGGGUAUUACGUGUCAUCUUCUACAAUUGUGUUCAAUAUCAAGAAGAGUUUUUGUAUGUUUAUUAUUUCACGGAAAUAUGAGUACAUGAUUCCCCAUGUGCUCCAAAAUCUAGCUCUACAGUUUCCUUUUUGAGUCAACCAAUCACGAUUCCUGUCCUGAUUCAAUCAGCUACCAUGGAUCUCAAUCAAUAACAAACUCUUACCUACUGUGCAUGUUCUCCAUUUGUGCUUGCUUACACAUGUGAUUUUUGCUUUUAUCUCAAUAUCAAGAAGAGAACAUUUUUUUUGUAUAUUCAUUAUUUUACAGAAAUACAUUUAAGUGAUGGAAAAUUGUUUCAUGCGGGCUGGAC